rnacentral:rRNA from 1 species
UACGUAGGGCGCAAGCGUUAUCCGGAAUUAUUGGGCGUAAAGCGCGCGCAGGCGGUUUCUUAAGUCUGAUGUGAAAGCCCACGGCUUAACCGUGGAAGGUCAUUGGAAACUGGGAGACUUGAGUGCAGAAGAGAAGAGCGGAAUUCCACGUGUAGCGGUGAAAUGCGUAGAGAUGUGGAGGAACACCAGUGGCGAAGGCGGCUCUUUGGUCUGUAACUGACGCUGAGGCGCGAAAGCGUGGGGAUCAAACAGG